UGGGGGAGUAUUGCACAAUGGGGGGAACCCGUGAUGCAGCGACGCCGCGUGGGUGAAGAAGCGCCUCGGCGCGUAAAGCCCUGUCAGCAGGGAAGAAAAUGACGGUACCUGAAGAAGAAGCCCCGGCUAACUACGUGCCAGCAGCC
rnacentral:rRNA from 1 species